UGAUUAGGUCGUUUAUUUUUCUGGACUUGAGCUGCAUAAGUUGCUUGUAUUAAAUGAUCACUUUUGCUUGGAAGAGCUUUCUGCUUGGGAAACCAAUAGGUAGCUGCCCCUGUGACACAGGGCUGUAGGGGCUGGAAGCGUGGAAGUUUGUCCUUGUACAGGUCUCCAGCAUGAGGAACAGCUCCUCAGAGGGUCUGAAAGGAAUUUAAGACAUUGAUGAAUUAAUGUGUGGAGGGGGAGGGACAAGAGAUAGGCACUAAUGAAGGGGUGAGUCUUAUGGAUAUCAUAGUGAACACUCAAGGCCUGUCUGUUGUUGUUAAAACAGCUUUGCAUGCAAAAGAGAAAAUUUACCUUUUUUAGUUCUUAAAAUGGCCCCUGUGCUUCCUUACAUCAUCAUGCUUGUCACAUUGACCUGGGAAUCUCUAUUAACAUGCCGCUGUUUGUUUCUGGGACUCAUGGGGUUCCUGACGCUAAAAACUGUCUUUACCUCCUUCCUUUUUGUUCCAAGCAGGGUCCAGUCUCCAAGACCAGUCAACAGUGCCUCGGUGGAGUAGUUUGCAUCCAUGUCAUGGGCCUUGUUGUUUAUAUAGGUAAAUAAUAAGAAUGAGAGGUUUAGUCUGGGGUCAGAGAAUAAAUAGGCCGUUUAGAAAGAGGACACCAGGAUGUUGCUUUUAUUUGUAUAUUAGCAAUAAUUUAAAAAAAAAAGCCCCAACAUAAUUCAAUUAUAAACUUUUUAUUAAUUUCCAAGUCAAUUCAUUAAGUCAGUCUGUUUUCUACAUGUGAAUGUAAGAAAAUGUGUCUAAACUCAUUUACAUGAAUGAACAGUACUUACAACCCCAGUUUGCUUUCUUCAGAACGUAAUGUUUUCUCUAUUUAAAUGCUGUGGAACACAGCUGUCCUUAUUUAUUUGCCCCCAGUUCUACUUGUAAGGGCUUUGUAUUGGCCUUUCACAAGCAGGCUUUCAGUGUUGAAAUGAGUUACUCGAUUACUGGAUGUCUGACCUCCUUAGACCCUCAGCCACCAGGAAUAGGGAAAAGCUAAGAACCCUUGGUGUAAAGAAAAGAGAUGCUAUCAGCAUCAUCACACCCAGACACAGCCCUUCUUAACAGGGCACUGCAAGUAGUUAAUCAUCAUAUUCAUUACCUGCUGCAGCCCAGCACUUGCCAUGUUAUCCUGGGACACCCUUAGAAGUGUUGGCAGUUCCUAGGGUUUAAGAAUUAAUUGAAUUCUUUGUUAUUAUGCAUCCUCCUUUUAACAUAAUAUUACUGUAUAAAACCUUUGAGUAGUGACUUCUUUCAUGGUAUCUGGAAAGAGGCACAGGUAGAGCCUAGACUGGCACAGGUAGAGCCUAAACUGACUGAAAACAGGAGAAACCCUGAUUGAACUGAACAAAGUGAGACUUAGCAGCAUCCAAUGACCAGCGACUUAUCGGAAAUGGGAUAAUUUAUUUUUCUUUCUCUUUUUAAAAGAUAUAAUUUAUAAAAUGAGAAAAUACUAGCCCAUUAAAUAUUGCAAAUUUUGGCAGAUUUAAGGAAGAUCUUUGGCUUAGUAGAGCAUUUCUGGGAAAAGGUAGAAAAAAUUUUUACUUCAGAUUGGGCCAUCUCCAAAGUCUUUGGAUUGAUUGUCCUAGGAUGGAUUGUCCUCAGUAAGUUGAGGUAACAUAGUGCAAACUUCUAAAUUCAUGGGACUAGGUCACUCUGCAAGCAAAAAUAACUGAGAGAUGAUGCAUGAAGUGCAACCUCUGAAGAGGAACCAAUCUGAGGCUAAAUAAGUGUACAGACAGUCUUGUGACUAUCCUUUUGUAGAUCUUAUGUUGUAAGCAGUUUUAAUAGGAAGAGAUCUCUAUAACUGAAUGUAGGUACAGCUGCUCAGGGCAUGCAUUUGUGCAUAACAAUGUAGCCUCUCACAGUGGCAAUACCCCGAAAUUCACUAUCAAAGGUCAGAGACCCUUUACCAAUGGAGGAUAUUGUUAUACGGAAAAGUUUGUAUCUGCCUGUGAAUUUGUUUGCUGACACUUUUAAAAAGUUAGCAUUGUCAUAGAUGUGUAGAGGUGUCAUUUUUCUUAAACCCUUGAAUAGGGGUUGGUGUGGAGGACACAAAUUGUGCUUUUCUGCCACAGGACACAGUGCUGUGCUUGGUCCUGUGUUUUAAGUAAUCAGUUUGGAAAUAUUUAUGACAAAUGUAAUUAUGAUUUAGGAGAUGGGUUCUUUUGGUUGCUUUACUUAUUAACACA
ensembl:lncRNA